rnacentral:rRNA from 1 species
CCUACGGGUGGCAGCAGUGGGGAAUAUUGCACAAUGGGCGCAAGCCUGAUGCAGCCAUGCCGCGUGUGUGAAGAAGGCCUUCGGGUUGUAAAGCACUUUCAGCGGGGAGGAAGGCGGUGAGGUUAAUAACCUCAUCGAUUGACGUUACCCGCAGAAGAAGCACCGGCUAACUCCGUGCCAGCAGCCGCGGUAAUACGGAGGGUGCAAGCGUUAAUCGGAAUUACUGGGCGUAAAGCGCACGCAGGCGGUCUGUCGAGUCGGAUGUGAAAUCCCCGGGCUCAACCUGGGAACUGCAUUCGAAACUGGCAGGCUAGAGUCUUGUAGAGGGGGGUAGAAUUCCAGGUGUAGCGGUGAAAUGCGUAGAGAUCUGGAGGAAUACCGGUGGCGAAGGCGGCCCCCUGGACAAAGACUGACGCCCAGGUGCGAAAGCGUGGGGAGCAAACAGGAUUAGAUACCCUAGUAGUC